GGUUCGCCGCCCGUCGGUGUCAACUGGCAUGUCCUGUGGAACGUCCUGCCGGUGGCGGACCGGGCUUUCGGCUUGCGUAAGGGCUUACGCUCGAAGCAGGCCGAACAGUACCGGCCGCCGGUCCAAUCCCGCCACGGUGCUCUUCACCGAGUGUCGAGGUGGGCCGGCACGUUUACUUUGAACAAAUUAGAGUGCUUAAAGCAGGCUGGUGUCCGCCUGAAUACUGUGUGCAUGGAAUAAUAGAAUAGGACCUCGGUUCUAUUUUGUUGGUUUUCGGAACCCGAGGUAAUGAUUAAUAGGGACAGGCGGGGGCAUUCGUAUUGCGACGUUAGAGGUGAAAUUCUUGGAUCGUCGCAAGACGAACCUAAGCGAAAGCAUUUGCCAAGUAUGUUCUCGUUAAUCAAGAACGAAAGUUAGAGGUUCGAAGGCGAUCAGAUACCGCCCUAGUUCUAACCAUAAACGAUGCCAGCCAGCGAUCCGCCGAAGUUCCUCCGAUGACUCGGCGGGCAGCUUCCGGGAAACCAAAGCUUUUGGGUUCCGGGGGAAGUAUGGUUGCAAAGCUGAAACUUAAAGGAAUUGACGGAAGGGCACCACCAGGAGUGGAGCCUGCGGCUUAAUUUGACUCAACACGGGAAACCUCACCAGGCCCGGACACCGGAAGGAUUGACAGAUUGAGA
rnacentral:rRNA from 1 species